AGUGAACGCUGGCGGUAGGCCUAACACAUGCAAGUCGAACGGCAGCACAGUAAGAGCUUGCUCUUACGGGUGGCGAGUGGCGGACGGGUGAGGAAUACAUCAGAAUCUACUUUUUCGUGGGGGAUAACGUAGGGAAACUGACGCUAAUACCUCAUACGACCUACGGGUGAAAUCAGGAGAGCUUCGCACCUUGCGCGAUUGAAUUAGCCGAUGUCGGAUUAGCUAGUUGGCGGGGUAAAGGCACACCAAGGCGACGAUCCGUAGCUGGUCUGAGAGGAUGAUCAGCCACACUGGAACUGAGACACGGUCCAGACUCCUACGGGAGGCAGCAGUGGGGAAUAUUGGACAAUGGGCGAAAGCCUGAUCCAGCCAUACCGCGUGGGUGAAGAAGGCCUUCGGGUUGUAAAGCCCUUUUGUUGGGAAAGAAAAGCAGCAGGUUAAUACCCCGAUGUUCUGACGGUACCCAAAGAAUAAGCACCGGCUAACUUCGUG
rnacentral:rRNA from 1 species